UACGAAGGGGGCUAGCGUUGCUCGGAAUCACUGGGCGUAAAGCGCACGUAGGCGGCUUUCUAAGUCAGGGGUGAAAUGCCUGAGCUCAACUUAGGAAUUGCCUUUGGGACUGCGAGGCUUUGAGGACGGGAGAGGUGAGUGGAAUUCCCAGUGUAGAGGUGAAAAUUCGUAGAUAUCGGGAGGAACACCUGUGGCGAAAGCGGCUCACUGGACCACAACUGACGCUGAGGCGCGAAAGCUAGGGGAGCAAACAGGG
rnacentral:rRNA from 1 species